ACGAACGCUGGCGGCAUGGAUUAGGCAUGCAAGUCGAACGGUGAAGUGGUAGCAAUACCGCGGAACAGUGGCGCAAGGGUGAGGAACACGUGAGUAACUUGCCCCCAAGUUGGGGAUAACUCCGGGAAACUGGAGCUAAUACCGAAUGUGGCUGUGAUACCGCAUGGUAAUACAGCUAAAGAUUUAUUGCUUGGGGAUGGGCUCGCGUCCCAUUAGCUAGUUGGUGAGGUAACGGCCCACCAAGGCUGAGAUGGGUAGCUGGUCUGAGAGGAUGGUCAGCCACACUGGGACUGAGACACUGCCCAGACUCCUACGGGAGGCUGCAGUCGAGAAUCUUCCACAAUGCGCGAAAGCGUGAUGGAGCGAUGCCGCGUGCCGGAUGAAGGCCUUCGGGUUGUAAACGGCUGUCACCAGGGACGAAUAAAUUGACGGUACCUGGAGAGGAAGCCACGGCUAACUACGU
rnacentral:rRNA from 1 species